CCAGGACUUCCUCCUGUCGUCUCCAGGCAUCACAGCAGCUCUGACCUCUAACCUGGCCUGGGCCUUUCAUAUCCCCUCAGGCUGCAGAAAGCUUCUCUCAACCACUCUGGGCACCAGGAGCACGUCCCCUUCAGGGAUGUUCGGAUGAAGAAGGCAUCCUUGGAGCCAAGCUUUGCCCCAUCCACACCUGUGGAAUGGAGAUGUAGCCCCAAGGUGCAGAGCUGGUUAUUGCUUCUCUGAGACUCUGACUCUCAUGUUCGUCACUGAAUUUCCAGGACCAGCCAAGUGCCUGGCACGUGGUAAGCAUUCCACAGACAUAUGUUGAAGGAAUGAACAUGUGACUCCAGGAAUGAAUGAAGAAAUGCGGAAUCAAAAGAUGAUGAAAACGAAGACAUAGAAAAGUAACCCAACCAAGGUCACCCCGAUUAAACGCAGGAAACGCUGAAAUGGGAAAUUAGAAGAGAAGGCUGACAGACAUUUGGAGCUUGGUGGAAUAUUUGUUCUUUGAAAAAUGAGCAUUGGGCUGCACCCACGGCAUAUGGAGGUUCCCAGGC